CGUGGAGGAGUUGGAAGUCUUGUGCGUUGCUGGUGGGAAUGUAAAAUGGUGAAGAGACCGACAAUGAAGAGGUGUUGAGGAGGACGUGGAGGAGUUGGAAGUCUCGUGCAUUGCUGGCGGGAAUGUAAAAUGGUGAAGAGACAGACAACGAAGAGGUGUUAAGGAGGAUGCGGAGGAGUUGGAAGUCUCGUGCAUUGCUGGUGGGAAUGUAAAAUGGUGAAGAGACAGACAAUGAAGAGGUGUUGAGGAGGACGUGGAGGAGUUGGAAGUCUCAUGCGUUGCUGGUGGGAAUGUAAAAUGGUGAAGAGACAGACAACGAAGAGGUGUUAAGGAGGAUGCGGAGGAGUUGGAAGUCUCGUGCAUUGCUGGUGGGAAUGUAAAAUGGUGAAGAGACAGACAAUGAAGAGGUGUUGAGGAGGACGUGGAGGAGUUGGAAGUCUUGUGCGUUGCUGGUGGGAAUGUAAAAUGGUGAAGAGACCGACAAUGAAGAGGUGUUGAGGAGAACGUGGAGGAGUUGGAAGUCUCGUGCGUUGCUGGUGGAAUGUAAAAUGGUGAAGAGACAGACAAUGAAUAGGUGUUAAGGAGGACGUGGAGGAGUUGGAAGUCUCGUGCAUUGCUGGCAGGAAUGUAAAAUGGUGAAGAGACAGACAAUGAAGAGGUGUUAAGGAGGAUGUGGAGGAGUUGGAAGUCUCAUGCGUUGCUGGUGGAAUGUAAAAUGGUGAAGAGACAGACAAUGAAGAGGUGUUGAGGAGGACGUGGAGGAGUUGGAAGUCUUGUGCGUUGCUGGUGGGAAU